GCAAGUAGAGCGGAUCGAUCACAGUGGUAGUUUGAAGCUUGAAACAGCCGUAGUCGCGCGUUGUUAAUGAAAAACCAAAACAAACAAUUUUUCACCCACAUCCUACCACCUCCGAAAUAACUCCCCUUUGAGUGAUUGCAGCAGAUGAUAAACGUGAUUGUUGAGUUCUGCCAUGGUUUAGAAGCGACCUGUGAGCUGAAAUGUCUUAUCGCGCCUUCCUUCUAAUAUAAGGCACAUACCCAUUCGGAGUAGACCGUCGUGAUAUUGCCUUACAUUGUGCCUUCUCAAUAGUUGGGUUUUAGGAGUGAUUAAUUUUAAGUGGCGUUUUAGUGUUCCUAAAUUUAGUAGUGAAAAAGCAUUACCAUGUCCGAUCGUGCCUUUCGGGCAUAUUUGCCUACUAAACCCAAAAGUGGAGACGAAAUUCUGCUGCGAGCAAAACUAAAAGACGAUGCUGUCAGGUUUUCAGUAAACUUUUGUCUAUCUCGGCCGGAAGGUAUCAGUGAGUGUCAUUCACCGCCUCAUAUAGCAUAUCACUUCAGGACGGAUUUCUUUGAUAAUGAAGAAAGUGUAACCAUUCAUAAUUGGAAAAAUGGUGGCUUUUGGCAAGCCGAGAUAGAAGAACCAAACAAUUGGAUUAGCGACCGGAGCGCUGUUUUCUGCCUAAUCUUCCGGUUUCAUGAAGAGUAUAUCAAAGUGUUUGCAGAAGACACGCAGCACACACCUGACUAUGAAUUCGAACACCAAUACCCAAUGGAAGCAAUCAAAAUGAUAGAGCUAUGGGAUGAUUUCGAGUAUGUGGAAGAGUUAACAUUCAAAUACAACCGUUCAUGAGCUCAACAAACCGCAACUGUGCAAAUCUGGCUAUGCACGAAUUAAUUAGCACCAAAGCUGAAUGUAUCUUCGCAACAUUUACCGAAUUAACCUAAAGUAUGUUUGCACACGCUUCACGAAUUAUCACAUCCAAACUGCGGCAUCAGCUAACGGCGCUUCUAGUCAGCAACAAAGCUUACGGCAGCUACACCCACAGAGAAAAAAACAUGAAAUUUGUUAGUAUUCAAAACGUGACUGCAGCUUGAUCUCUCCAUAAACAAUGCCAUGAAAUACUUCCUCCAAUGGUGGACGGCGUUUCCAAAUCGUCAGCGAACACUUUUAAGUUUUAACAACCAAUCAGUUAGUAUAUGUUAGUGUGGCUAGCCUAGACACUACCUGAAUAGUAAAAAAAAGUGACUAUUACCUACGCUAGGGUGACUACUCGUCGACUAUCUGUAUAGGUGGAAUAGAAAUAAAACAAACAUGUCGUUAUCGUCGAUAAGGCGUAGGUACUGAUUAGAAUUAUGGAAUCGAAACAAUUUCCUUUCAGUAUGAUUCAUCUGAUAAUCAGAGUUGUGUAAAUUUUAAACUACAACUCUUAGAUAAAUGUGGCACCACGUCUUUCUAAGUGGAUCUGUCUGAUUGAUCAUUAUCAGUGAGAGUUCACUACAUCAAGUAGUGUAGGAGAAAAUAUUCUUCGGAUUUCAGUAGAACUUUGGAAACCGUUCAGAAAAGUCAUCUGUAAGCAAAUAUGGACUUCAGUACAACUCUAGGAGAAUGCGGCUUCUCGUUUCGUCUUCCGAAACAACCUAAAUACGGUGACGAAAUUGCAAUCAAAGGAGUUCUUCAAAACGAUGCGGAAAGAUUUUCCAUAAACCUGUGCUUGGAUCGGCCGGACGGAUGUGACCCAAACGAUGAACCAGAAUGGAUUGCGUACCAUUUCGGGUUGGAUUUCACCGAGGGCGAUGGCAAUUGUAGAGUGACACAGUGUAGUAAGAACGUCAACUGGAAUAGCCCGUUGUUCGCCGAUGGCGAGGUGUUCAACGGACGAACUGUGAAUGUCAUUUUGCGUUUGGAAGAGGAAAGCAUAAAAGUCUUCUACGAAGAUACACAACACGUUGCGGACUACGAAUACAGUCAUCAGUUGCCGAUUGAACAGAUACGGACCAUCGAGUUACGCGAUGGGAUCGCCCAGGUGGAAGAAAUUCGAUUGAAAUUUUCCUGAAUAAUUCUUUAACGAUGUUUGGAAUUGUUCAAACACGUUUUCAAAAAAGUUAAAUGUGUUAAACAUGGAUAUGUGCAGGAAAUAAUUAUGGAAUAGAACUUAGUGUUCGCAAAUACAUAAUUUAUUUGAAACAUACUUUAGCCCAAAGUUACGCAUAUGUCAUUACGUGUAAAUAAGUGAAAUGUAGAAAGUUUUCUGGAACGAUAUAGAUUAGUUCAUUCAACGCAUACGUGUGUCAAAACUAACAUAUAAAAAAUGUUAUGACCGUGUGUUAACGUUCAAGAAUUUAUCAUUGUAAUAAUUGUCAUUAAAAGGUUUUCUGUUCAAAACUGAAAUUUAUACGAUGAAAAUAUGUUUCCAUUGAAGAAUAGAAUACAGUAAGCACAUUUCCAUGUAACCUUUCUUAAAUUUAAAAAAAUAAAACUGAUUUUGAAAAUUCUAAAUUAAAUAAUUAACGAAAUAUCCUGCCCUCUUCACACAAUCUGAACAUCGGUACCAUAAUUUCUUUUAAAAGUAUUACCUAAAAAUAUUCAAAUUAUUAUAGCGUCAUCAGAUCAAAGUCAAAGUGUACAGUAUGGUUUAUGAACAAAACAUUACAAGGAAAAUGUAGUUUAAAAAAAGUAGAGUGCACUGGUCACGAGUCACCUACUAUUAUGAGUCCACUCAAUUGGAACUGCAUGUGGGAAAGAGUGGCUAAUGACAAUGUAUACUAGAUACAAGAUUUUGAUUGUCACAAGUGAUGGGUAAAUAGCGCCAAUAAAGUCUAUUAAACUAUUA